UACGUAGGCAGCAAGCGUUGUUCGGAAUUACUGGGCGUAAAGAGUGUGUAGGCGGUGCUCUAAGUUCGGUGUGAAAUCUCCCGGCUCAACUGGGAGGGUGCGCCGGAAACUGGGGUGCUUGAGCGCGGGAGAGGAAAGCGGAAUUCCUGGUGUAGCGGUGAAAUGCGUAGAUAUCAGGAGGAACACCGGCGGUGUAGGCGGCUUUCUGGACCGUAGCUGACGCUGAGACACGAAAGCGUGGGUAGCAAACAGG
rnacentral:rRNA from 1 species